rnacentral:rRNA from 1 species
GGAAGGAUCAUUAUCAAAAAUUCAUAUUUUUGAAUAUAACCCUUCAACCCAUGUCUACUGAUUCUCUGUUGCUUCCACUGGACAGGUAUCUAUUGUUCAAAACCUUUUUUGAACCGUAUUUGCCCUUCAAGUCUCAUAAUUGAGCUUGGGGAAUUGCUAGUGGGUAGCCUAUAUUAAUACCAUUAUGGCAAGCAUUUUAUUCAUAAGUCUGAAAAAAAAAUGAAACUAAAUGAAAAAAAACUUUCAACAACGGAUCUCUAGGCUCUUGCAUCGAUGAAGAACGCAGUGAAAUGUGAUAAGUAAUGUGAAUUGCAGAAUCUCGUGAAUCAUUGAAUUUUUGAACGCAUAUUGCGCCCAAUGGUAUUCCAUUGGGCAUACCUGUUUGAGAGUCAGAAUCCUUUUAAAUGGUCAAACUUCCUAUAUAUGGAGAUGUUUGGUAUUGAGAGACGUAAUAAAGAUUUCCUAUGUUACACUCUUAAAAAUCAGAAUUUCAGGUUGGUUGCUUCAAUCUCAUUUUGUAUGUGAUAAUCUUAAUGAAUGAAUAAAACCACCAUGAAUGUACGUAAACAGAACACUUGGUAUGACCUCAAAUCAGGUAGGGAUACCCGCUGAACUUAAGCAUAUCAAUAAGCGGAGGAAA